rnacentral:misc_RNA from 1 species
AAGCAUCAGCUUGAGCAACAUUCCGAGCCAUAGCUGUGAGAAGGGCGAUUCCAUGCUCGGCAGCUGCAACUGUAUUAGCAGUGGGCGCAUUAACAACAAGGCAUCCAUGCUCUGUUGCCGCCGCAAGAUCAACGUUAUCAAUCCCCACACCAGCACGUCCAACAACCUUCAGCCGUCCACCAGAAGAUUCAAAGAUCUCACGGGUCACCUUUGUUCCGCUCCUCACAACCAACGCAUCACAAAGAGAGAUCUUAGUGCACAGCUCCUCAGGAGUCAAGUUAUAUGAGCAAUCAACAUUCGCGAAUUCCUUUAAAAGUUUCAGCCCAGCCUCGCCUAGUUUUUCAGCAACGAGAACCGUAGGUUUGGCGUCCAUUGAGAAAACGACAAACCUCGGACACUGACGGGGGCUUCUGCGCGGGAGAGUAACCGCGGAGACACGAAAGGCAGAGGUAGAAGCGAGCUGGUUUUUCCAUGAGAGAGAGGCGCGUGAAGAUUUUGAAGAUAAAAUCAUAGUUGAAGAAGGUGAAGCCGCCAUUGUGGUAAGCUAUUCGGAGCGUAGCUCAGUAUGGUGAAACGGCGACGACGACGGCGGAAAAGGUUGAAAAUGAGUUGUUAUAGUGGAAGGAAUUGGAGAGGGUUUUAUGGGUG